rnacentral:rRNA from 1 species
GACGUAGGGGGCCAGCGUUGUUCGGAAUUACUGGGUGUAAAGGGUUCGUAGGCGGUGCGGCAAGUUGGGAGUGAAAUCUCUGGGCUUAACCCAGAAGGCUUGCUUCCAAAACUGCUGUGCUUGAGUGUGGGAGAGGCGCGUGGAAAUUGCAGGUGUAGCGGUGAAAUGCGUAGAUAUCUGCAGGAACACCAGUGGCGAAGGCGGCUCACUGGCCCGGUACUGACGCUGAGGUGACGAAAGCGUGGGGAGCAAACAGG